AGAGUUUGAUCAUGGCUCAGAUUGAACGCUGGCGGCAGGCUUAACACAUGCAAGUCGAACGGUAACGGGAAGGGAGCUUGCUUUCUUUGCCGACGAGUGGCGGACGGGUGAGUAAUGCUUGGGAAUCUGGCUUAUGGAGGGGGAUAACUACGGGAAACUGUAGCUAAUACCGCGUAAUAUCUAUGGAUUAAAGGGUGGGACUUUCGGGCCACCUGCCAUAAGAUGAGCCCAAGUGGGAUUAGGUAGUUGGUUAGGUAAAGGCUGACCAAGCCGACGAUCUCUAGCUGGUCUGAGAGGAUGACCAGCCACACUGGAACUGAGACACGGUCCAGACUCCUACGGGAGGCAGCAGUGGGGAAUAUUGCACAAUGGGGGGAACCCUGAUGCAGCCAUGCCGCGUGAAUGAAGAAGGCCUUCGGGUUGUAAAGUUCUUUCGGUAGCGAGGAAGGUAUCAAAUUUAAUAGAUUUGGUAAUUGACGUUAACUACAGAAGAAGCACCGGCUAACUCCGUGCCAGCAGCCGCGGUAAUACGGAGGGUGCGAGCGUUAAUCGGAAUAACUGGGCGUAAAGGGCACGCAGGCGGUUGAUUAAGUGAGAUGUGAAAGCCCCGGGCUUAACCUGGGAAUUGCAUUUCAUACUGGUCAACUAGAGUACUUUAGGGAGGGGUAGAAUUCCACGUGUAGCGGUGAAAUGCGUAGAGAUGUGGAGGAAUACCGAAGGCGAAGGCAGCCCCUUGGGAAUGUACUGACGCUCAUGUGCGAAAGCGUGGGGAGCAAACAGGAUUAGAUACCCUGGUAGUCCACGCUGUAAACGCUG
rnacentral:rRNA from 1 species